GCAGGCAGCCAUCUGCUGGUUGUAAUUUUGGGGCAAAAGAACAGAUAGCUACACUGUCCCCAAAAUAUCACACGCAUGGAAGGAUGUUGGAAAUUAAUGUUGGUAAAAAGAAAGUAUAUGAAAAUGUCUUUAUAAAUUAUAACAUGCUAUAUAAGUGGCAUUACAAUGAUCAAAGGUAAAGCAACACAUAUUGUAAGGUGGACACCGUGAUAAAAUGCUCAGACUGACUUAAACAGAAGUGGGAGGCUACCGUUUCACACAAGUCAGAUGUGCAGUUGAGUAUGGCCUGACCAAGAGAAGGAAUUGUGUCAGCAGGAUUCUCUUCUCCACAGUGCUGCUUCUAGCUUGGUUCCCCUGCCAGGUGUUUAUGGCAGCAUCUCCUGACUUCAACUCCCAGAAUCUCUGGGAUUCCCCAUCCUGGUUUCAAGAUGCUGCAGAGGAAGCCCACUGCAAGCUUCACGUCUUUGGAGCAGCAAAUUCAAUAAAGAGCGCAGGACCCUAUUUCCCAGAGCAUCAGCUAAGUCUUCAUGUCCUCUUGGCUUCACUUGGGUUAAAUUCCCAACCCUAACACAGUCAUGUGGCAAAGGAGAUGGGAAACGGUCAUUGGCUUGAGCCAAUGUGAACUCACUCUUGUCCCAUGAAGGAAGGCACUAGUCAUAUCUCUUUAUGCUCCAAAAUUUAGCCCAGUGCUCUCAAUAAAUGACUCUUUUUUAUGAUAUGAAAGAAAACCAGGAAGGGUUGGUUUGGUGGGAAGAUGAACUCAGAGCUUUGGUAGGGAAGGAGUGAGACCCCAAGGCUUAGGUUGGGGACAAUAGGUAGAUGCAAUCGAGAGCUCUCACUGCAAUAUUCUCUGGAAUCCUUGAAGUUCAGAAGUGGCCCACAUUGCCUAAUUGGAAGAUAGUGGGCCCUUCUUACUUGAAGACCAGAUAGUGAGACAGUGCCUUAUAAGACAACAUCUGUCUUCCUCAGGAUCUGCUCUACUUCCACUCCCAGCCACGAGAUUCAUAAUUAAGGUCAGAUGUCAGCACAACCUAAUGGGGAAAGCAGAGCCUGCUAAGGGAGAAGAGGGAUUCUACACCCAAGCAGCUCAGAACCUGGCUGAUGUGUACUGGCAAGAACUGGAAACCUCAUGUGGAUACUGGAAAGGUCACUGAGCUUGUGUGAAAGUGAUACAAAAGUUUGGAUGGCUUUGUGCCAUUAUGGGACAAAAUUCAAUACAGACAAAGCAUGAAGGGCAAAAAGUGAAUGGAUCACUUGUCGAACGAAAUCCAAUUUUCAGAUAUUCAUGAUGCUACAUCCUAUUCACACUUUUCUUUUCCAAUGCCUGUGUGAAAUCAUCACCUUCACAGAUUCACUUGUCCCAACAUGUAAGAGUUCCCAUUCCACAUUUGUGCUGGAGUCUUGUUUAUUAUGUUUGUGUGUGGUGUUAUUCUGGUUGUAGUAUGUAUGUUAUUAUUUCGUUAUUGCCUUUAUGCCUC